CCUCUUUCACUAUCAGUGCCCUUAGGGCAGCACUCCUUGCACGUCUGCCCAGUGGGGCUCUGUGUUGGUCAUAUGGUACUAAUAUGAGUUGAGUGGAGCAUCGUAAUGAAGGAACUGUAAAAAUAGUUGAGGCUGCUGUCUGGCUGGAUGUCCUGUAAAUGUAUCACCCACUCAGCAUAUGAGAGCCUGAAAAAAACGAAGUGAAAGCUGAUGACAGUGGUUUUACUGGAAGUGCUGAAGGCUGGGAUUGGGUCCGUCCCUAUGGGGGAUCUCAUUAGUGCUGGGUGCACUUCAGCAGUCAGCACCGAUGGCUCUUUUGGUCUCGGGCAUUUUGAGUUAUAAGCAGUAGGGAUAAAUUCAACUGACAAAAUAAUUGCACUGAUAUUUAUACCUUCCAAAUACCAAUUUUGUAUUGAAAAUGAUCUCUAUGCAUAGUAGGCAGCGGACUUUUAAGAUGUUGGCCAUGUAUGAAAAUCUCAUUCAUUUCUGAUCCGGUAAUACGGAAGGUGUUCCACUCUUUGGGCACCGUGUGCCCUAAAAAGCCCUGGCUGUACUGCUAAAUGAGGAAAUAAACACAAUUGCAACACCUUUCCAGAGCUCUGAAUGUUUUCUUUCUUCCAGCAGAGAACCCUGGGGGUGAUGAAGUGCCAGAGGAGCGUCUGUCUGAACACAGCCUGUCCUGCUCCGUGAGCCGGUUCUGUUCUCCCAAAGAGCACUUUGGUUGCAGGCAGUGUAGGACUCCCUCAGGAAUUGUUGGGCAAUGAGUGGGAGCACUGAUGAGCGCAUCGUACCGAGCAUCACGCUGAGUUACAUUAUGAUGCACUGCAAUAUAAACCAACCCGGUGUCAGCAGUGGGGCCUAAAACCUCCAUUUCACUUCUUACGUUACCAGAUGAAAAAUGAGGAAAUAGAAAGAAACACAUGCACCGUUUCCAGCGAUGCACUGCCUGUAACUCGGCUUCAAAUUUAGUACAACCCUAAUGAAGAAAUGAGCUUUCAUAAAAACAUUACUGCAUAUAAAACAGCAAUCUGCCUAUUAGCAGAAUGCAAACAGCUCUGGGUGUAUGUUUUUUUAAUGUAUGACUUGUUGCUCAAUGUUGCCUCGCUUAUAGGGAAGUCCCCACCUUAAAGAUAUGUUUGUUUGACCCAUAUGUGUUACCUCACCAGCUG
ensembl:lncRNA